AUACGGCCCAUGGCUCGGCACCUACACCACCAUCACCCUCCUGGUCGCCGGCUUCCUGGCCGAUCAACUGUUGGACUCGGGAAGAGUUGACAUCACUGUGCUCAGAAAAGGCUUUCACAUCGUUGGACAAGUCUGUGGUGCCCUGCUGAUGCUCGUCAUCAUCCUCACCAAGGACGAGCUGGUGACGUACUACGGAACUGCCGCCUUCAUGGUCUUCAUGGGCAUCACCAUGGCAGCAGGUUUCACGGUGACUCCGCUGGACAUAGCUGACCGGUACGCGGGGAUUCUCGUGGGCGUGGCUAAAACCCUGGCCAGUCUGGUGCUGCUCGGCUGCCCGAUGCUCUUCAAAUUUAUGAACAA